UACGUAGGUGGCAAGCGUUGUCCGGAUUUAUUGGGUUUAAAGGGUGCGUAGGCGGCUUUGUAAGUCAGUGGUGAAAUACGGUAGCUUAACUAUCGAGGUGCCAUUGAUACUGCAGAGCUUGAGUACAGAUGAGGUAGGCGGAAUUGACGGUGUAGCGGUGAAAUGCUUAGAUAUCGUCAAGAACACCAAUAGCGAAGGCAGCUUACUAGGCUGUAACUGACGCUGAGGCACGAAAGUGUGGGGAUCAAACAGG
rnacentral:rRNA from 1 species